AAAAUUAAAAGAUAAAUGUUCAUCCAUUUAAAAUCGAAAACAGUACAUUUAUAUUUAAAAAAAGAAGAUGUGGUAUGAUUGCCAAUGAGACAGCUCUCCACAAGAGACCAAAAUGACACAGAAAUUAACAACUAUAGGUCACCGUACGGCUUUCAAUAAUGAGCAAAAGCCAUACCCCAUAGUCAGCUAUAAAAAGCCCCGAAAUGACAAUGUAAAACAAUUCAAACGAGAAUUGUUCCUUAUAAACUACGACAUUUCUCACAAGUAUUAAUUUAUCAUUUAGCUCCACACAUGCAAAAGAAAUAAUCUUCGCCGAUGUAACAUUUCAAUUUAUUACAACAAAAUGCCUUCACUGAAUUCAUUCAGGUGCACAAAUGAUACGAUUAAAGUUAUUUUGUUUCUAUCUUUGGGGGAC
rnacentral:lncRNA from 1 species